AUUGAACACUGGCGGCAGGCUUAACACAUGCAAGUCGAGCGGAGAUGAGGUGCUUGCACCUUAUCUUAGCGGCGGACGGGUGAGUAAUGCUUAGGAAUCCGCCAUUUAGUGGGGGACAACAUUCCGAAAGGAAUGCUAAUACCGCAUACGUCCUACGGGAGAAAGCAGGGGAUCUUCGGACCUUGCGCUAAAUGAUGAGCCUAAGUCGGGUUAGCUAGUUGGUGGGGUAAAGGCCUACCAAGGCGACGAUCUGUAGCGGGUCUGAGAGGAUGAGCCGCCAAACUGGGACUGAGACACGGCCCAGACUCCUACGGGAGGAAGAAGUGGGGAAUAUUGGACAAUGGGCGGAAGCCUGAUCCAGCCAUGCCGCGUGUGUGAAGAAGGCCUUUUGGUUGUAAAGCACUUUAAGCGAGGAGGAGGCUACUAGUACUAAUACUACUGGAUAGUGGACGUUACUCGCAGAAUAAGUACCGGCUAACUCUGUGCCAGCAGCCGCCGUAA
rnacentral:rRNA from 1 species